rnacentral:lncRNA from 1 species
CUGAGGAACUUGUUGAUGAGGAAGCCCUUUCACUGCGGCUGCUUCUCCCUCUUGCUUUUCCUCCGCCGCCGCGUCGUCAACCACGCCUUCCACUUCCUUGUGUAACCGUAGCCGGUGGUGGACCCUUCGGGGAUGAUAGCAGCGACGCCGCCACGCCUGUAUACGGCAUUUCCCCCUUUGUUUCUCCCUCUUCCUUGGCCAUGUUAAUAGUUUUCUUUGUGGUUAAGUUCUGUUUGGG